rnacentral:rRNA from 1 species
AGAGUUUGAUCCUGGCUCAGGACGAACGCUGGCGGCGCGCUUAACACAUGCAAGUCGAGCGAGAACCAGGGCUUCGGCCCUGGGGACAGCGGCGAACGGGUGAGUAACACGUGGAUAACCUGCCCUCGGCACCGGGAUAGCCCGGGGAAACCCGGAUUAAUACCGGAUGGCCCUUCCGGCUCACGAGCCGGUCGGAAAAGGUAGCUUCGGCCUCCGGCCGAGGAUGGGUCCGCGGCGGAUUAGCUUGUUGGUGGGGUAACGGCCUACCAAGGCUCCGAUCCGUAGCUGGUCUGAGAGGACGAUCAGCCACACUGGGACUGAGACACGGCCCAGACUCCUACGGGAGGCAGCAGUGGGGAAUCUUGCGCAAUGGGCGAAAGCCUGACGCAGCGACGCCGCGUGAGGGAGGAAGGCCUUCGGGUUGUAAACCUCUUUCAGGAGGGACGAAGCUACUCGGGUGAACAGCCCAGAGGGUGACGGUACCUCCAGAAGAAGCCCCGGCUAACUACGUGCCAGCAGCCGCGGUAAUACGUAGGGGGCAAGCGUUGUCCGGAUUUACUGGGCGUAAAGAGCGUGUAGGCGGCCACUCAGGUCCGUUGUGAAAACUGGAGGCUCAACUUCCAGACGUCGACGGAAACCGCGUGGCUAGAGUCCGGAAGAGGAGAGUGGAAUUCCUGGUGUA